UGGGGAAUAUUGCACAAUGGGCGAAAGUCUGAUGCAGCAACGCCGCGUGAACGAUGAAGGUCUUCGGAUCGUAAAGUUCUGUUGCAGGGGAAGAUAAUGACGGUACCCUGUGAGGAAGCCCCGGCUAACUACGUGCCAGCAGCCGCGGUAAUACGUAGGGGGCUAGCGUUAUCCGGAUUUACUGGGCGUAAAGGGUGCGUAGGUGGUCCUUCAAGUCGGUGGUUAAAGGCUACGGCUCAACCGUAGUAAGCCGCCGAAACUGGAGGACUUGAGUGCAGGAGAGGAAAGUGGAAUUCCCAGUGUAGCGGUGAAAUGCGUAGAUAUUGGGAGGAACACCAGUAGCGAAGGCGGCUUUCUGGACUGCAACUGACACUGAGGCACGAAAGCGUGGGUAGCAAACAGGAUUAGAUACCCUGGUAGUCCACGCUGUAAACGAUGAGUACUAGGUGUCGGGGUGCAAAGCAUCUCGGUGCCGUCGCUAACGCAAUAAGUAUUCCACCUGGGGAGUACGUUCGCAAGAAUG
rnacentral:rRNA from 1 species